GCCAAAGCUCAGUGGUUAGAGCAUCUGCCUUGCAUGCAGAAGGGCUCAGCUUCAAUCCCUGGCAUCUCCA